UAAAAUUAAAUUUGAUAAAUUUUAAUCAUAAAAAUACUAAAAUAAUAAAAUAAUUUUUUCUUAAUUGUUCCUUUUGCUACAUUUAAAAUGGUUUUUUUUUUUCUGAAAAUUGCUUUUUGACCCCAAAAUUCAAUGCCAAAUGGGGCGUGAGAAUAGCAAAAUCACACUGCAACCCCGGGACAAAAGCGUCUUCAAUUGUCUGAUGGGGAUAAUUUUUACGCAGGUUCGAUACCAAAGCCGGAAA
rnacentral:misc_RNA from 1 species